ensembl:lncRNA
CUGGCAGCUCACUUGAGAGGUCUUUUAGGUAACAGCCAAGGCAGUUUGAGGGAAUGGUGUGCGUGCGUGUGUGUGCGUGUGUGCACGUGCAUUGGUGUGCACAUGUGAGCAGUGGUGUUGGAAAAACCCAGAGUAGCUGCUCCCAAGCAAGCAAUUCCAAAGAGCUGUUGUUAUAUCUGGCUGGCUCUGCCACUCUUGAAGUUUUGGGGUUACAGGGGAUACCGUCUAGACCAGUCUUUUGGCUCUGGGGUUGGCAGAACAUAGAACCAGAAAGCCAAAUCACAGUGCAAAUAUCUCGCUGCAUUUUUCCUGGUAAACGGUCAAGCUGGAUGGAAACUAAAUCUCAAACGAUGACCAAAUAGCAAUAAGCAAGAGAAUGAAGGCUGCCCAGGGCUUUCUUCAGUGCUUGCUAGAUAUGUUCUGGUUCUUGAGCCACUGUGAGACACUACUGCAGGCGGGGUCCUUACAAAAAGAGAGCGAAGGGACUGUGCUCCCCACCUUCCAGCUGGGGAACAUUCUCACUGUGUCCGUGCAAUCUUCUAGACUCAAAGGUGGCCCUAGGGUAGGACACACACGGAAAUACAGAAUUGAAAUAAUUUAUUUACCACUAGAGCACCACAAAAACAGACAUACAUUGUGUUAAAAUACAGCAUAAUUGGUCGUCAAAGUACAAAACAGCUAUUCUUAUAUUCCAAUUUUUUAACCAUGCCAACCACAAAAUUGUACUGCUGCUUAACACAUAUACACUGCUGCCCGCCGGCCUACUAACACUUCUCGCUUCCAACCUCCGCCCUCCCCUCCCAUGGCAACAUUUAUUUACGGGAAAUAAAGACCUUGUAGAAUCCCCCAAUUGAAAACAAAAAGAUUCAGGAGAUCUUAAAAUAGAGCAUUUAAAAUAUUAUCAGUGCAUUCAUAAGGAAAGACAAACUAAUACAAAACAAAAUGUCAUUUUAUCUCAGAGGAAAAUACCUGCAGAAAUAAAAGUGAUUUACACAGAAUUAACAGGAAAGUGGAGGAGGAAAAGCCCAACACAGUCUGGGAUUGGGUUACACCUGAUGUGAGAGCUGCUCAGUGUUGUGGCACCCUCUCUAGUUUGCUUUUCCAGUUUUCAAAUUUGCGAAUCCAAUUCUUCAUCUUAAUGAUGGUCAGGAAAUUCCAACAGGAAAGUAUACCAUUCCUGUCUUACUCCACUGCCCUUAGGUGCAACUUCAUGAUUUGCCUAUGAAUUUUUAUCUGAAAACUAAAUAAGUGACAUGUACCCUGCAAACCCAGGCAUGAGGUACCUCCUCCAAAAUGAUGUGACAAGUCAUUUCUGUAAGCCAAGUAAAACCUCUAGCCCCAGUUCUAGAUAACUUGCACUCAGAGGAAAGAGAAUAUGUUGAUCAUGGGAGAAUUUGGCUUGUGUCUUUUCAACCUUUCAAGAAGAUCUACCAAAAGCCUUAACUUAGUGAAAUAAGUGACAUGAGUAACUGUGACCUGGAUGUUUUCACCCUUUCAAAAGUACCUAAAAUGUGCACCCUUCCAUUUCCCCCUUAACAGGAAAAGGUAUUUCCUGAACUGCUUGCCUUUUAAUAACAGUAAAAUUCUGCAAAAAAUACUAACUGAACCACAUUAACUCAGCCACCAGGAUUCUGAGUUCAGAUCCUCAGAUUCUGUGAAAAUUAGAACAUUUCCCCCGAUUAUCUAUGUUUCCAUAGCAUUUCCCAUUUUCCUAACAUAGAUGUUUUUUAACAUGACUUGAUUAGUAAUGAUGAUCAAAAGAUGAAGAAAGACCACUAAAUUCCAUCUAUUCUUUUUGUAAAAGAAAAAAAAAGACAAACAGACACAGAUAGCUUAUGUCAUAGAAAUGGACAAUACACAAAGCACAGGAGAGCAAAUCUU